AGUGAACGCUGGCGGUAGGCCUAACACAUGCAAGUCGAACGGCAGCACAGUAAGAGCUUGCUCUUACGGGUGGCGAGUGGCGGACGGGUGAGAAAUACAUCGGAAUCUACUUUUUCGUGGGGGAUAACGUAGGGAAACUUACGCUAAUACCGCAUACGACCUACGGGUGAAAGCAGUGGAUCUUCGGACCUUGCGCGAUUGAAUUAGCCGAUGUCGGAUUAGCUAGUUGGCGUGGUAAAGGCCCACCAAGGCGACGAUGCGUAGCUGGUCUGAGAGGAUGAUCAGCCACACUGGAACUGAGACACGGUCCAGACUCCUACGGGAGGCAGCAGUAGGGAAUAUUGGACAAUGGGCGCAAGCCUGAUCCAGCCAUGCCGCGUGGGUGAAGAAGGCCUUCGGGUUGUAAAGCCCUUUUGUUGGGAAAGAAAAGCAGCAGGUUAAUACCCCGCUGUUCUGACGGUACCCAAAGAAUAAGCACCGGCUAACUUCGUG
rnacentral:rRNA from 1 species